rnacentral:lncRNA from 1 species
GGAGGAGCCAAGAUGGCCGAAUAGGAACAGCUCCUGUCUACAGCUCCCAGCUUGAGCCACGCAGAAGAUGGGUGAUUUCUGCAUUUCCAUCUGAGGUACCAGGCUACACCCUGCAAGGUCAUUAUCAUUAGCUGCACUUUACAGGAGAGGAAGCUGAGGCUCAGAGAAGCAAACUGCCCUCCUACUUAUGUUGAAGACUUUCCCAUCCUAUGAGCCCAGGUGGGAGAAGCUGAAAAUGGCAGAAGGUCACUUUUCCAGCUGCCCUGUGCCUGGUGAGCCUGUGACACAGACCCCGUUGCUCACAUAUCCACCCAGUUUGGUGCCAUAGGUGGUAGCACUUCAGGGCCAAGGAGUUUGAAGAAGUCCAAGGUAGAGCUUUCUGGAAAAUCCUCUGGAGAGGUUGAUCAGAAACCUUCUCCCACAUAAACAAAGGACCCAGGAAGAAGCUAAAAAUGGGCCAUGAGAUUGUCUUUAUUCAUCAAGCCUGAAGUUUUCUGACUCUAUCUUUCUUUUCCCGUGGCCACUGUUACCUCUCCAGAACAGACCCCAUCACCUGAAUUCUGCCUGAGCCUCGACAGAUAUGCUCAGCUGCUCUCCCAUGCUGGCUGUUGUUACCCCAACCCACUUAAAAUUCCUUGAGGUCUUAGAAGCUCUCUCCCACCAAGGUGCCGAAAGAAGUAUUUCACAGGUUCUCAGUGACAAUUGUUUAUUGAAAUUUACACUGAUGAGAAGUGGUCCCUAUUAAGGGAAUUCAAUCCAAGGAGAUUGGCUCUAUACUUUGAACCGCUGUGGCC